rfam:Beta vulgaris subsp. vulgaris Bvchr3.sca005.con0138.1, whole genome shotgun sequence.
UGGGAUGUAGCUCAUAUGGUAGAGCGCUCGCUUAGCAUGCGAGAGGAUGGGGAUCAACACCUCACAUCCUAU